GGGUGCCAAAACCUUUGUGAAGAAGGAUACCCAAAAUGGAGGAUUAACAACAACAUUUAGAAUAACAAGAUGGCCAUGUAAGGGCAAGGUGGUAAAACAAGGACAUGGGUUGCAUGAACGCUGGGACAUGACUGGGACCAGAGGGUCACCGACUUCAGGAAGGAACACAGGACUUCUGGACACAGGAACACAGAUGUGCGUGCAUCAGAUCAGCUGUGGAGCCCUCAGCAACACUGGUACACCAUGCUACUGGAGCUGUCGACACAAGUUUGAAGUCAUCAUUUAUGUAAUGGAUAGUGGUGGAUAAGAAUGAGG